rnacentral:lncRNA from 1 species
GAGGCGGCGAUCCCAGUAGCCGCCGCCUCUGAAGCAGAAGCAACAACAACUGCUCCUGUUGAGGUGAAGGAGAAAGAGAUAGUUGUUGAAGCAGAAGCAAAGAAAGAGGAAGAACCAGCACCAGCACCAGCACCAGCACCUGCACCUGCACCUGCACCUGCACCUGCACCUGCACCUGCGGCGGCACCUGCAGCUGAGGUGGCACCUGCUGAGGUAGCACCUGCAGCUGACGUGGCACCUGCCAAGGUGGAAGAAGCACCUGCAGCAGUAGCAGCACCAGAACCACCAAAAGCUUGAUGAAUCUUUCAAUUUGUUUGUCUCUCUGUGUAAGAGUUGAUUUUUUAUUUUAUUUUUCUUUGUCUGUUGAUUUUUCUGUGUUUUGUGGUCACUGUAUAAGAAAGAAGACAAAAACAUGAUUUGUUAUAUUUUUUGUUUGUGUUUUUCUCCCUUCUCUCUUUCUCGUGUUAGUUUGUACUUUGUACAAUAUUCUAUGUACAUUUUUCAAAGUUUUUCCUUUUGAUUCUUCAAUACUAUAAAAUGUGCCUUGAUAUAUAUGGUUUCUCAUUUCCUUUUUUCUCAGCUGACUU